rnacentral:rRNA from 1 species
AUUGAACGCUGGCGGCAGGCUUAACACAUGCAAGUCGAGCGGGGAAGAGUAGCUUGCUACUUGACCUAGCGGCGGACGGGUGAGUAAUGCUUAGGAAUCUGCCUAUUAGUGGGGGACAACAUCUCGAAAGGGAUGCUAAUACCGCAUACGUCCUACGGGAGAAAGCAGGGGACCUUCGGGCCUUGCGCUAAUAGAUGAGCCUAAGUCGGAUUAGCUAGUUGGUGGGGUAAAGGCCUACCAAGGCGACGAUCUGUAGCGGGUCUGAGAGGAUGAUCCGGCACACUGGGACUGAGACACGGCCCAGACUCCUACGGGGGGCAGCAGUGGGGAAUAUUGGACAAUGGGGGGAACCCUGAUCCAGCCAUGCCGCGUGUGUGAAGAAGGCCUUUUGGUUGUAAAGCACUUUAAGCGAGGAGGAGGCUACCGAGAUUAAUACUCUUGGAUAGUGGACGUUACUCGCAGAAUAAGCACCGGCUAACUCUGUGCCAGCCGCCGCCGUAA